AUUCUACUCCCUCCAUUGCACAAUACAUGCCUUCUAUUUGUCAAAAUAUAGAUGUAUCUAGACAUGUUUUAGUAUAUAGGUACAUCCAUUUUUGGACAAAUGGAAGUCAAGUAUUUUGGAACGGAGGGAGUACACA
rnacentral:pre_miRNA from 1 species